rnacentral:rRNA from 1 species
GAUGAACGCUGGCGGCGUGCCUAAUACAUGCAAGUCGAGCGAACGGACGAGAAGCUUGCUUCUCUGAUGUUAGCGGCGGACGGGUGAGUAACACGUGGAUAACCUACCUAUAAGACGGGGAUAACUUCGGGAAACCGGAGCUAAUACCGGAUGAUAUUUUGAACCGCAUGGUUCAAAAGUGAAAGACGGUCUUGCUGUCACUUAUAGAUGGAUCCGCGCUGCAUUAGCUAGUUGGUAAGGUAACGGCUUACCAAGGCAACGAUGCAUAGCCGACCUGAGAGAGUGAUCGGCCGCACGGGAGCGGGGCCGCGGACCCGGGUCCUGCGACAGGCAGCAGUAGCGUACGUGCCGCAGUGGGCGAAAACCUGACGGAGCAGGCCAGCGUCUGAGAUGACGGUCUUCGGUGCGUGACGCUGUGUUAUGAGGGAAGAACAUAUGUGUAAGGAAAUGUACAGAUCUUGACGGUACCUACUCAGAAAGCGCCGGCUAACUACGUG